UAACCAACAAAAAAAACAAACGAAAAAAAAAACAGGAGAAUCGCUACUGUAGCCCUAGCCGCCGCACCUCGUGCGCUCUGCCGCUGCCGCUGCUAUUCCUGUCUUCGCCGGCGCCGCCGCUGGUGCAGCCGUCGCCGGUCGCCACAGCCGUCGUCGUCCACAGCCGGUCGUUGGAAGGAGGGAGAGAAGGCAGAGAAGAACAGGAAGGAAGGAAAGAAGGGGAAAUUUGAUAGAAGAAGGGAAAUUUGGGGAAUUUGGUGAAUAUUUCCAAAUUCUUCGUUUUUCUUAUACAUUAGUACUGCUAGGUACCUAAUGACAUCGAUCGGCAUGGGGCGGGAGUAGCACCCUUGGACUACACAUUAUUAUUGCACACAAUUGAAAUUAGUUUUAGACUAUUUUUUGCUCAGCAAAAGUUUUGCAUAGAACUUGUAAAGGUCAUUUAAGGUUCUGAUCCUUAUUUUUCACGUGGGAUUUGUGGAGCUAGGAUGGUUUGGAUUGUGUGGCUUAUAUCGGUAUUGACCUUUCUUAUAACUGCCUGUCGUGAUGUCCGUAUUUUUAGGGGAGAUUUUGCCGAAAUUUCUAAUAAUUUUAGGACUUAGUUUUUGAGUGUAUUUUGGUGUGGCAUUCUAGGUACGUGGUUACCUGGGGUAGUUACAUUUCUAACCCCAACACGGAGGCCUCGACAUCUUUUUGUUCAUAGGUAUUUUGAUGGCAUACUCCCCAUGAGCGUUCAAUGUUGAGAUGACGAUUGCUUUCAAGGUGACUCGAUGCCUCGGGAGAGUAUUUGCGGUGAUGGAUCGGGAGUCAGCUUGGUGGAAAGACG